rnacentral:rRNA from 1 species
UUCCAGACUCCUACGGGAGGCAGCAGUGAGGAAUAUUGGUCAAUGGACGAGAGCCUGAACCAGCCAAGUAGCGUGAAGGAUGACUGCCCUAUGGGUUGUAAACUUCUUUUAUAAAGGAAUAAAACGAGGCACGUGUGCCUUUUUGCAUGUACUUUAUGAAUAAGGAUCGGCUAACUCCGUGCCAGCAGCCGCGGUAAUACGGAGGAUCCGAGCGUUAUCCGGAUUUAUUGGGUUUAAAGGGAGCGUAGAUGGGUUGUUAAGUCAGUUGUGAAAGUUUGCGGCUCAACCGUAAAAUUGCAGUUGAAACUGGCAGUCUUGAGUACAGUAGAGGUGGGCGGAAUUCGUGGUGUAGCGGUGAAAUGCUUAGAUAUCACGAAGAACUCCGAUUGCGAAGGCAGCUCACUGGACUGCAACUGACACUGAGGCUCGAAAGCGUGGGUAUCAAACAGGAUUAGAUACCCGCGUAUG